UAAAAUCCAACCUAAAAAGUCUAAUAGUAGGAAUCUAUAUGGAAAAAGUGUCAUAAAGUAAUUUUAUCAUUACUUCAAAUUUGAAUUUAAAAUUUGUUGGACUGAAAAUGCUUUUUAGAAGAUUCCUCAAUCGGUGCUUUUGGUUGUCAGUGUCGCGACAUCCUUCUCGGGCAAGCCUUGACCUCUCCAUUUCCAGGUUUGUAGCUAGUGUUUCAACAUUACUAGCUCAGUGCUGCGAUCAUAAAGGCUGGUGGCGCAACAGUACCACCUUGAUGUUGCAACUUCGAAGGCAAUUCACUCUUAUGUGAAUUUUGUUGAAGUCCAACGAUAAAGGCAUUGGUGUCACGACUUUGGCUCCAAUUUAACCUUUUUUUUUCUCAUUUUUGUCUCAACCAAGUGCCUAAAACAAGCUCAACUAAUGAAAUAAACUUACCAUUUUUGUAACACCCCUAACCUGUAUCCGUCGCCGAAUUAGGGUUACGAGACAUUACUGAACAAAACACAACCAUCUCAAAAUCAAUACAUACACAUUAUAUAUAUUAUUUAAAUAUAAUAAACUUAGUCUAAUAUUAAAUAUGCAAAAUAUUAAACUUCUCUUCUAACCAUUUUUAAUAAACAAAGACAUUAUAAUUCAACUAGUAAAGACAUUACAAACUAGCUAAUCCAUAAGGAAAUAAACCAUUUUAGUAUGGCUAUUAUAUUCAUAUACAGUACAACAAAGUACGACCUUCAAAACAUUUAUCUAGUCUGUGCAUGCCAUAGUUAGAAUUUAAAUAUUUUAAAUACCGAGAUAAUAGAUAGGGUGAUGAACUUGCUGACGAUCCCUGAGCUUGAAGCUUGAUUUUUUUUUUAUCUAUAAAACAGAUAGACGUAAACAAACAAAGUAAGCUUACAUAGCUUAGUAAGUCUAUAACAUAACUAAAAUAUAUAUAAAAGAAGAAUUAUAUAAAUUCAUAAUUAAACUUAUUGAAAUCGCAAAUACUACAUAUUGUAUAUUUAAAUACUCAUAAAAAACUUACAACCGAAUACUUUUAUAUAUCAUUUACAUAUAAACAAAUGCAUACAUCAUUAUCAAAUACCUAAAACCAAAUGCAUAUACACUUCAUAUAUGUGUAACCGAACGCAUAUUUAUAUACUUAACAAAUUUUAUAACCGAAUAUAUAUAUAUAUACACACACACACACAUCAAAUGAAUAUAACCAAAUACAUUUAUACUUACCAAAAUGCAUUUAUAGAUUUCUCACAUACAUCUAUUUGAAUGCGAAUAUACCUAACAAUUUCAUAAAAUUGAAUAUAUAUAUAAAUAUUCAUUCUCAUCAAAUACAUAUAAACGAAUGUUUAUAUGCUCAUCAAACACAAUGACCAAAUAUAUAUACAUAUUCUUUAAAUCCAUAUGACUAAAUCAUAUACAUAUCCGAUACAUGUAAACUCAUAAUAUGAACUGAUUCACCAGCACAAAACCUGCUAGGCUUAAAGCCUGAUUCAAUACACUGGCACUUAGCCUGCUAGACAUAAAGUUUGAAAUAUUUCACUGGCGUCAAGCCUGCUAGACAUAAAGUCUAAAAUGUUUCACCGGCAUCAAGCCUGCUAGACUUAAAGUCUAAAAUGUUUCACCGGCAUCAAGCCUGCUAGACUUAAAGUCUAAAAUGUUUCACCGACAAUAAACCUGAUAGGCAUUGAGCCUAAAAUCUCAAUUCACAAAAGUUGUAUCUCAUAUUUGUAUAUAUUAUCCACAUAAAAAAUCAACUCAAUAAUUUAUAAACUAUAUCUCUAAUCCACAUAGGUAUAUAAAGUUCAGACAUCAAAUUCAACUCAAUAACUUAAUUAUACAUCCGAACAUAUAUAUAUAACUUAAUACAUUAAAGCCUACUACCUAAUAUCAUGCAUCGAACACCUUAUGAUAUUCCAAACUAAUAAUUACAUAUCUUCAAUUCCAUUCAAGAAUUUUUACAUGAAUAUACAUACAUAAUCGAACCUCCCUUAUACAUAUAUAAAUUUCAUACUUAAACUCAUUACAGAACAUAUAUAUAUAUAUAUGUGCAUAUUUGCAUAGUUGAACCUCAUAUAAACUUGUAUAAAUGGCAUAUCUAAAUUCAAUACAAGGACAUAUAGAUGUAUAUUUGCAUAUUAUAGACCCAAUACAAAGUUUUAUACCAAUAUAAACCUAUGUUUAUUUUCGAAUCUUAAGGACACACACACCUAUAUAUAUAUAUAUACCUUUUAUUAAACCAAUACUUUAUACUUGUAUAUACAUGUAUAAAUUCAAAACUUGUACAUAUAAAAAUAUAAAACUUUUAUACUCCAACUAAAUUAGAUAACAUUUCUAAUUGUAUAUCCUUAUAUACCUUCAUACUUUAACUAAAUUCAAAUGACUAUAUAAGUAUAUACCUAUGAUUCGAACAUGUAACAAUAAUGCAUAUAAUUCACUCAUACUUUUAAUUAUUUCAACCAACAUAUUUUAAAUUAUAAUUCAUCAAAAUACAGCACAUAUACAUACCUAUAUAUUGAUUUUAUGACAUUAAAUAGCUAAUAGACUUACCUCGGACGGUGAAAAGUCGAAACCAGACGAUUAAUCGACUACUUUAGUUUUUCCCCGAUCCAACUCCGAUUUCUUUGGUUCUUGAUCUAAUUAUAUUCAAAAUAAGUUAGUUUAAAUAUAAUUACAUUCAAUUUAAUCCAAAAACACAUAAAUGGGUAAAUUAUUAUUUUUCCCCUAACAUUUACACUUUUUACAAUUUAAUCUUUUUUGCUCAAAACACAAAAUACACAAAAUUUGACUACACUCCUUAAGGGCCGAAUUUUUCUAGUGUCCAUACAAGUCCAUAUUUUUCAUUUAUUUAGCAUUUUAGUCUCUCAAAAAUUUAUUUUCACAAUUUAACCCUAAUUACUCAAUUUCACCAAAAAUUCAAAAACAAAACAUGUCAAUCCAACAAAUAUCUUACAUUUUUCAUCAAUUAUCAUCACAAAACUUACAAGAGCAUCAAUAGCAUAACUCAAAAUCAUCAUCAAAUUUCAAAAUUGAGGCAUGGGCUAGAUAGAGUGCUAAGCAACAAUCACAAAAAAUAUAAAAAUUAUCUAAAAUAAAUCAAAAACACAUACCUAAUUAGCCAAUGCAAGUGCCGAACCCUAGAACCCUUUUUCUCUUUUCUUUUUUUCUUUGUAUUUUCGGCAACAACCAAGAUGAUAAUGGCCAUUUACAUGCUUUUGUUUUAUUUAGUUAUCAUUAUAC
rnacentral:lncRNA from 1 species